UACGUAGGGGGCGAGCGUUACCCGGAAUCACUGGGCGUAAAGGACGCGUAGGCUGUUUAGCAAGUCAGGUGUGAAAUCCUAUGGCUCAACCAUAGAACUGCACUUGAAACUGCUAGACUAGAGUAUGGGAGGGGGAGAUGGAAUUAGUGGUGUAGGGGUAAAAUCCGUAGAUAUCACUAGGAAUAUCUAAAGCGAAGGCGAUCUCCUGGAACAUUACUGACGCUAAGGCGUGAAAGCGUGGGGAGCAAACAGG
rnacentral:rRNA from 1 species